AAUAUUGCGUAAUGGGGGGAACCCUGACGCAGCAACGCCGCGUGAGCGAAGAAGGCCUGCGGGUCGUAAAGCUCUGUCAUCGGGGAAGAAAAAAAUGACGGUACCCGAUGAGGAAGCCCCGGCUAACUACGUGCCAGCAGCCGCGGUAAUACGUAGGGGGCAAGCGUUGUCCGGAAUUACUGGGCGUAAAGGGUGCGUAGGCGGCCUGACAAGUCAGAUGUGAAAUACCAAGGCUCAACCUUGGGGGUGCAUUUGAAACUGUUGGGCUUGAGUGCAGGAGAGGAAAGUGGAAUUCCUAGUGUAGCGGUGAAAUGCGUAGAGAUUAGGAGGAACACCAGUGGCGAAGGCGACUUUCUGGACUGUAACUGACGCUGAGGCACGAAAGCGUGGGGAGCGAACA
rnacentral:rRNA from 1 species